UACGUAGGGGGCAAGCGUUGUUCGGAAUUACUGGGCGUAAAGGGCUCGUAGGCGGCCAACUAAGUCAGACGUGAAAUCCCUCAGCUUAACUGGGGAACUGCGUCUGAUACUGGAUGGCUUGGAUUCGGGAGAGGAAUGCGGAAUUCCAGGUGUAGCGGUGAAAUGCGUAGAUAUCUGGAGGAACACCGGUGGCGAAGGCGGCAUUCUGGACCGACAUUGACGCUGAGGAGCGAAAGCCAGGGGAGCAAACGGG
rnacentral:rRNA from 1 species